GCUGCUUCUCUGUGAAUACAGUGGCUUCUCGCUCUCUAUGAAAGGAUGUGCAAAACGCCCUUCUCCAACCAGUUACCAUUGUCAAAAACAAAAUUCAACGAGACUUGAUGGGUUAUCUGUGGAAGGAUUUGAUGCGGGUGAAAUGGAGAGGAAAUGGAUUGAGCAUGGAGGAGUGGAGAGAGUAAGUAAUUAAGGGGGAGGCAAAAGAAGGAGACGCAAAGAGAAAGGUUUGUGUCGUUUUUCUCUUUCUUCCUAUUUCUUUUGUUCUGUUGCUGUGUUCUUUCU
rnacentral:misc_RNA from 1 species